GACGAACGCUGGCGGCGUGCUUAACACAUGCAAGUCGAACGGAAAGGCCCUGCUUGCAGGGUCCUCGAGUGGCGAACGGGUGAGUAACACGUGGGUGAUCUGCCCUGCACUUCGGGAUAAGCCUGGGCAACUGGGUCUAAUACCGGAUAGGAGCCAUUUUUAGUGUGAUGGUUGGAAAGUUUUUUCGGUGUAGGAUGAGCUCGCGGCCUAUCAGCUUGUUGGUGGGGUAAUGGCCUACCAAGGCGGCGACGGGUAGCCGGCCUGAGAGGGUGGACGGCCACAUUGGGACUGAGAUACGGCCCAGACUCCUACGGGAGGCAGCAGUGGGGAAUAUUGCACAAUGGGCGCAAGCCUGAUGCAGCGACGCCGCGUGGGGGAUGACGGCCUUCGGGUUGUAAACUCCUUUCGCUAGGGACGAAGCUUUUUGUGACGGUACCUAGAUAAGAAGCACCGGCUAACUACGUG
rnacentral:rRNA from 1 species